AUCUCUUUUUCUCUUUCUUCUUUUCCUCCAUGUCCUUCUCUCUUUUCUUCUUCCUCCUUUAAUACGUUUUUUCUCUUCUUCUUCCUCCAUUUCCUCACUGCCCAAGCUUCACCUGCUCUUCAUCAUCACUUCAGUCUCCCCGUCGCAACACUCCAGCUACUUCCAGCCCAUUUUCUCCGUCGCCGAUAGCUUCCAGCCAUUUUUCUCCAUUGCCGACAUUACCCACUAUCGUCAUUUGCUGAGUAUUUUGUCGAUGAAGCAAUUUGAAAUAUGGACAGUGAUAGUGAAGCUCCAAUCAAACCCAAAGGUAAAUGGAGGGUUUUGGAGUAGGAAAAAUGAUCAUGCAUAUCAAAGUAAUCAAGCCUGCAACAACAAGAAAGCAACACAGGAGCUGUUGUUUUUAUGUUUUUGACAUAUGUUCAUUUAUUUCAAAUUAUAGACAUCUUUAUUUUUAUAUUUAGUUUAAUUCGUUGCUAUAUCACAAUUCUGGAUUAUUGUCAAAUUUUUAAUUUUAGUUUGUAUCAAUGUUGGACAUCACAUUUCAUCAAAAAUUAAGAAUUCUCUGAGCU